CUGGAUGCAGCAGUGGUCAUAAUCGGCCCCUCAGAAUGCCAGCUUUUCAUCUGACCCGGAAUAUUCAUUGUGUGUCGUUUCAGUCAUAGACUGCAUGGAGAAAUUAAAAUGAAAUAGAUAAUCGGCUGUUGAGUUCCAGCAUGCUGUGAAAACAAUGAUUUGAACACUUCAACAGCAAACUUUCGAGAUGAUAUGCGAUCACUGCCAAACCUCUUCCCCGUCCAAUCCACUUCCGCACCGGAGAUGAGCCAUCGUGGUGACGCGCAGCCUUCGCAGAAGCAGUGACCGCCGAAUGCAGCGCCUCAGCCAGUGUGGCUGAUUUUCUGCACUGUGGUGGCAUAUAAGGAGGAGGUGGAGCCGAGCCAUGUUGC